AGGACGAACGCUGGCGGCGUGCUUAACACAUGCAAGUCGAACGAUGAUGCUGCAACUUGUUGUGGUGGAUUAGUGGCGAACGGGUGAGUAACACGUGAGUAACCUGCCUUUCACUCUGGGAUAAGCCUUGGAAACGAGGUCUAAUACUGGAUAUGACUUCUUGCCGCAUGGUGGGGGGUGGAAAGCCUUCGGGUGGUGGAUGAUGGACUCGCGGACUAUCAGCUUGUUGGUGGGGUUGUGGCCUACCAAGGCAAUGACGGUUAGCCGGCCUGAGAGGGUGACCGGCCACAUUGGGACUGAGAUACGGCCCAAACUCCUACGGGAGGCAGCAGUGGGGAAUAUUGCACAAUGGGCGAAAGCCUGAUGCAGCGACGCCGCGUGGGGGAUGAAGGCCUUCGGGUUGUAAACUCCUUUCGCUCGUGACGAAGCCUCUUCGGGGUGACGGUAGCGGGAGAAGAGCACCGGCUAACUACGCGCCAGCAGCCGCGGUAAU
rnacentral:rRNA from 1 species